AACAGGGCCCAGCUCCGGGCGCCGGCGUAGAAUCUGAGCUGCAGAGUCUCCCUCUGUCACCAGGCUGGAGUGCAAUGGCACCAUCUCAGCUCAGGGCAACCUCUGCUUCCCGGGUUCAAGCAAUUCUCCUGCCUCAGCCUCCAAGCAGCUGGGAUUACAGCUUUGGGGAACAUGGAGAGAGAAGCCCAAGGGAAGAGCAGCUUGCCCAAGAAGCAGUAACAACAGACACGUGCCUGGAGGGAGCGUGAUAGCAUCUACCACGUGGAGGAGAGCAUGAGCCAUUCGCCAGCACUAGAGAAGAUGGCAUUGCAGCCAGCAGGAAUGUGGCAUCGUUCUAAAAGCAGUGAGAAUGACACUAAUGCUGUCCCCGACUCACCACUUCCCUCUCAGGCCUUCACUCAACCCCUCUACUUCUUAUUUCCAGUGUUUCUGCAUUAACUACCACCUUCUUUUUAAGAACCAAUGAAUUCCAGAGGUUCCCAUGGGCCAAAUUCUCCCUUUCCAACACCAUCUUAACCGUGCUUCAGUAAACAUGAGUUGUCAACUCUCAAAUGUGUGUCUCUAGUCUAGACUUCCCUUCUGAACUUUAGACUUGCACAUCCAACUGCCUUCUCCCAUCUGCACUUAGAGGUCGCUAAAGUUCCACCAAUUCAUCAUUUCCAUGCUCCCUCCAGGCACCUGUCUGUUGCCACUGCUUCUUGGGCAACAAGAUUCGUUAGGACUUUCUACACAUAAGAUUAUGUCAUCGGAAAAUAGAGAUCAUUUUACUUCUUUCCAAUCUGGGUGCCUUUUAUUUCUUGCCCAAUUUCCCUGGAUAGAAUCUCCAGUAUGAUAUUGACUACAAAGUUGAGAGUAGACAUCCUUGUCUUAUUUUUGAUCUUGGGGGGAAAACAUUCAUUCUUUCAUCAUUAAGUAUGAUGUUAGCUGUGGGUUUUUAAUAGAUGCUUUUUAUCAGUUUGAGGAAGUUCUAUCGUUGAUUUUUAAAUCAUGAAAUGUUGUUGGAUUUUGUCAAGUGUCUUUCUGCAUCUGUUGAGAUGGUCAAGUGGUUUUUAUCCUUUA